GUCCCUAGCUCCAGAUUUAGCCCUUCAUGAUUGAGCAGAUUACUGAGGCCCACCUCCGCCUCUUUCCUCCUCUGUCAAACCAAAGAGCUGCUCCUGAAACAAAGUCUGAAGAUUCUUUGAGAACUGAAUUGACAUGUAGCCCCUUGGUUGUCCCCUUCUGUAGGCUCUCCAGUAUUUACCCAUCUCCAAAGCUCUGAGUGUAGCUGUUGACGAAGUCCCUGAGGUUGGUCAGGAAAAUGAAGUUUCCUGUUGAUGACACUGACCCUGACAUCCAGGGUUCUGCAUCUCCAGACUCUACGAAUGCCAGUGUUUCAGGGCCAAUGAGAACAGAAACUGCUUUCGUUCUGCCCCAACACACAACAGAAACAGAAGAACUGAAACCUCAGCUGAGGCUUCUGCUCUCGCAUUUCAGUAUCUCUUAUGACGUGGAAGAGCUGAGCGAUGCUUCUAAGGAGACAGAACUUUUUGCCUUGGUUUCCCCAAAAUUUCAAAGCAUCUUCAUGGAACAACAGAGAAUGCAAACGUUUCCAGACUAUAAUGCUGGGAUAGCUAAAGUGGAAAAUUUGAAUUUGGCAGGACCUCGUAGGGCCUUGAAAAAGGGAGCCAACUGGACUUCCUUUAUAAAGAUUAAGCCAAAAUGUGAUCCUUGGCAAAAGAAGCUUUUGACCAAACUAAAAGAACGGAGAAGAAUAGAUGUAUUAAUGCAACUCCAAGCAAAGUUUUUGAAGAAUGAAAACACUAAGGAAGAUGACCUUUCAGUGCAACGAGAUGAAAAUGACCCAGCACUAAUAAAUCUUAGCCAGUGUGCUAAUAAGCCUGUGAAGCAGAAGAAAGAGACAGGGUAAAAUGAAAUCACUUAAUGGUGACUCAAGAAAAUGGAUUAAACACUGGGAAAAAACUGAAUGAUUAAUAUGUCAGUUACAAGUUAACUAAAAAAUAUUUAAGGCUGAAAUAAAAGUAGUGUUAUAGCCGACCA
rnacentral:lncRNA from 1 species